CUUCAUGAAUUAUUCAGCCAGAAUAAUGUCCGGAAUAGUGGAAAAUGACUGGAUGGCAUGGAAUCGGUGGAAACGUCUUGCAAACGCCUUCCUAGGUAGAGACGGGAGGCGCCUGUCUUACCCCCUCCUAUCGGGAGAUGGCGGUCAGAUGGGCAGCGUCGGCGCCUAGAAAGCCGUGGCUACAGUAAGUGGAGGCAUGUGGGGUUGAGCUUUAAGGAGUUAAAACCAUCAAGUACUGCAUUGCUAGAAGGGAGGGGAGAGGAGUGCAGGAUCCAGCGGAUCGCUCACGGGAGGAAGGAGGUGGCCGAGGAGCUUCUGGGCUCUUCCAAGAGUCGAAGCGGCAGCUGGUGGAUGAAGAGGAUACCAAUAAGAGCAUUCUGGACAACUGAGAAUAACCAGCAACUUUGAAAAUGAAAGCAAAUUGAGCCUUCAGAAAAGCACUCAAUUCUUCUCUCUCCCCAGCUGGUGAGAGACAAAGGGGAGAAAAUCAAGAAGAGAUUUCAAACUGGAAAAAGUAAAGUAUGCAGAAUUGAACAAUAGAUUACAUGAAAAGUUCAAAGGAGAUUAUUUUUUCCAUUCAGAAAUAGAGAGAAAUAUGUAGAGGUGAGUGAGGAGGAAAAAGACAAUUGGAUAUUCACAAAAGGUAGACAAUAAUGCGGAUCUCUAGACAGUAAUGCAGGCCUUGCCCUGUGAGGAAGAAAAGAGUAGCUUGAAUCAAAACUCCAUGCAACAAAAGAUCACAGGCUACCCUGGCGCAGGCACAGCCAUUAGGAACCACAGAGGCUACGAAAUGGCGGUUCACAGUCCUCUGCCCAUCAGCUGUAUCGCAAUCAGCGCCAGUCAGCUAAUGGAAAAGGGCACAAAUAUUUCAUUCUUCUAGGAGAGGGGUGGGUGCUAAUUUCCUAUGCCUAUAAUGAUCCAUCCACUCAUUCAAUCAGUUGGUCAGCCGCCCUGGAACCACAGGCUGCUUCUGCUCAUCAAUAAAUGGACCUCCUUUCUUAAAACAGCCUCCAUUUUAUUCCCGCUUGGAACUGGAUAUGGAUUUUUCUUCUAACAGGAUGUAGACAAGUUCUGAUCUCCAGUCAGGCUAAAAAAAGAUCAGGAAUCUCUAGAUCAGCUUUUUACAAAGUAGCGCCCUCCAUGGAUUUUGCUCGAGGUGCCUGCCUCAGAAUAAUCAAGGCAGAAAUCUACGUCCUCUGGAAAUUGGGAAGGUUGCUCAGAGCAAUUCUUGAGGCUGUGCAAGAAUGUAGAUCAAAAGAUACUACAAGUAAUCCUUGACAUACAACCACAAUUGAGCUGGGCUGACACAGAAAUGGGGGUGGGGGAGUCCAUUCUUCAGUGAGAACAAUUGAUCAGUGGAAUGUUUUGCCUCCAAAAGUUGUGGCUGCUCCAUCACUGGAGGUUUUUAAGGGGAGACUGCAGAGCUAUUUGUCCGGAAUAGCACAGGCUCCCCUGCUUGGAGAAUUGGUCCCUUUUUCGGUAAGAACUUCAUGAAUUAUUCAGCCAGAAUAAUGUCCGGAAUAGUGGAAAAUAACUGGAUGGCAUGGAAUCGGUGGAAACGUCUUGCAAACGCCUUCCUAGGUAGAGACGGGAGGCGCCUGUCUUACCCCCUCCUAUCGGGAGAUGGCGGUCAGAUGGGCAGCAUCGGCGCCUAGAAAGCCGUCGCUACAAUGAAGAGGAUACCAAUAAGAGCACUCCGGACAACUGAGAAUAACCAGCAACUUUGAAAAUGAAAGCAAAUUGAGCCUUUAGAAAAGCACUCAAUUCUUCUCUCUCCCCAGCUGGUGAGAGACAAAGGGGAGAAAAUCAAGAAGAGAUUUCAAACUGGAAAAAGUAAAGUAUGCAGAAUUGAACAAUAGAUUACAUGAAAAGUUCAAAGGAGAUUAUUUUUUCCAUUCAGAAAUAGAGAGAAAUAUCUAGAGGUGAGUGAGGAGGAAAAAGACAAUUGGAUAUUCACAAAAGGUAGACAAUAAUGCGGAUCUCUAGACAGUAAUGCAGGCCUUGCCCUGUGAGGAAGAAAAGAGUAGCUUGAAUCAAAACUCCAUGCAACAAAAGAUCACACGUAUUUUUGACCUCUUCAAGAACAUUAGUGGUAGAAAAGCUCCAUAGAUGUGCCUAUUGUGGGAAAAGCACACACAGCAAAUCACAGAUUGUGCAUAACAGGAUCCACACUGGAGGAAAGUGAAUGUGGGAAACAAUCUAGUUAAACCAAUUCCCUUGUGUUUCAUGAAAGGACUCCCACAGGAGAAGCUGCUCUAUAGCUGCUCCCAAGGCAUUAAAUGCUUUUCCAAGCAUGGCAACUUGGUGAUACAUCAGAAGACUCACAGGAGGGGGAAACCAUUUGAAUAUGCUAAGAUUGUUGGAACAUUUUCAGUCAGAAUUCCAACCUGGUGAUACACUAGAGGAUGCCCACAGGAAAGAAAUCAUAUAACUGUCCUGAUUGUGGGAAAAAUUUCACUGCAAAUUCCCAAUUGGUGAUACACCAGAGGAUUCACACAGGAGAGAAACCCUUUGAAUGUCCUGAUUGUGGCAAACGUUUCAGUUUGAAUUCCCAUUUGGUUAAACACCAGAGGACUCACACAGGAGAGAAACCCUUUGAAUGUCCUGAUUGUGGGAAAAGUUUCAGUCGGAACUCCAGCCUGGUGAUACAUCAGAGGAUUCACACAGAAGAGAAACCCUUUGAAUGUCCUGUUUGUGGGAAAUGUUUCAAUCAGAAUUCCCACCUGUUGGAACACCAGAGGACUCACACAGGAGAGAAACCCUUUGAAUGUUCUGAUUGUGGCAAACGUUUCAGUUGGAAUUCCAAUUUGAUUAGACACCAGAGGACUCACACAGGAGAGAAAUCCUUUGAAUGUUCUGAUUGUGGCAAACAUUUCAGUUUGAAUUCCUAUUUGGUUCAACACCAGAGGACUCACACAGGAGAAAAACCCUUUGAAUGUUCUGAUUGUGGGAAAAGUUUCAGUUGGAACUCCAGCCUGGUGAUACACCAGAGGACUCACACAGGAGAGAAACCCUUUGAAUGUCCUGAUUGUGGCAAACGUUUCAGUUGGAAUUCCAAUUUGAUUAAACACCAGAGGACUCACACAGGAGAGAAACCCUUUGAAUGUCCUGAUUGUGGCAAACGUUUCAGUUUGAAUUCCAGUUUGGUUAAACACCAGAGGAUUCACACAGGAGAGAAACCCUUUGAAUGUUCUGAUUGUGGCAAACGUUUCAGUUGGAAUUCCAAUUUGGUUAAACACCAGAGGACUCACACAGGAGAGAAACCCUUUGAAUGUCCUGAUUGUGGGAAAAGUUUCAGUUGGAACUCCAGCCUGGUGAUACAUCAGAGGACUCACACAGAAGAGAAACCCUUUGAAUGUCCUGUUUGUGGGAAAUGUUUCAAUCAGAAUUCCCACCUGUUGGAACACCAGAGGACUCACACAGGAGAGAAACCCUUUGAAUGUCCUGAUUGUGGCAAACGUUUCAGUUGGAAUUCCAAUUUGAUUAAACACCAGAGGACUCACACAGGAGAGAAACUCUUUGAAUGUUCUGAUUGUGGCAAACAUUUCAGUUUGAAUUCCUAUUUGGUGAAACACCAGAGGACUCACACAGGAGAAAAACCCUUUGAAUGUUCUGAUUGUGGGAAAAGUUUCAGUUGGAACUCCAGCCUGGUGAUACACCAGAGGACUCACACAGAAGAGAAACUGUUUGAAUGUCCUGUUUGUGGGAAAUGUUUCAACCAGAAUUCCCACCUUUUGGAACACCAGAGGACUCACACAGGAGAGAAACCCUUUGAAUGUUCUGAUUGUGGCAAACGUUUCAGUUGGAAUUCCAAUUUGGUUAAACACCAGAGGACUCACACAGGAAAGAAACCGUUUGAAUGUCCUGAUUGUGGGAAAAGUUUCAGUCAAAAUUCCCAGCUGGUGAACCAUCAGAGGACUCACACAAGAGAAAAACCCUUUGAAUGUCCUGAUUGUGGGAAAAGUUUCAGUCAUAAUUCUAACUUGGUAAGCCAUCAGAGAACUCACACAGGAGAAAAACCCUUUGAAUGUCUUCAUUGUGGCAGAGGUUUCAGUGAGAAUUCCAAUCUGGCGAUACACCAAAGGACUCACACAGGAGAGAAGCCCUUUGAAUGUCCUGAUUGUGGGAAAAGUUUCAGUUGGUACUGCAGCCUGGUGAUACACCAGAGGACUCACACAGGAGAGAAACCCUUUGAAUGUCCUGAUUGUGGGAAAGGUUUCAGUCAGAAUUCCAUCCUGGUGGAACACCAGAGGACUCACACAGGAGAGAAACCCUUUGAAUGUUCUGAUUGUGGCAAACGUUUCAGUUGGAAUUCCAGUUUGGUUAAACAUCAAAGGACUCACACAGGAGAGAAACCCUUUGAAUGUCCUGUUUGUGGGAAAAGUUUCAGUCAAAAGUCCAACUUGGUGGUACACCAAAGGACUCACACAGGGGAGAAACCCUUUGAAUGUCCUAUUUGUGAGAAACAUUUUAGUGAGAAUUCCAAACUGGUGAAACACCAGAGGACUCACACGAGAGAAAUGAUAUGAAUGUCCAGAUUGUGCAAAAAGUUUCAGUCGUAAUUCUAAACUAGUGAAGCCAUACGAGUGUCCAGAGUGUGGGAAAAGUUUCACUUACUGUUCUGACCUGGUGAAACAAUAGAGGACUCACACAGGAGAGAAACCCUUUGAAUGUCCUGAUUAUGGGAAGUUUCAGUCACCAUUUUAAUCUGGUGAGACACCAUAGGAUACAUACAGGAGGAAAACCAUACAAAUGAUCUAUAAGUAAUGUAGAUUUACGCAGAGGAGAACGUCAAGGAAAUCUACAUUAGGCAAAAGUUGACGCGAAGUCGUGUCCGACCCAUCGUGACCCCAUGGACAAUGUUCCUCCAGGCCUUCCUAUCCUCUACCAUUCUCUGAAGUCCAUUUAAGCUCAUACCUACUGCUUCAGUGAAUCCAUCCAGCCACCUCAUUCUCUGUCAUCCCCUUCUUCUUUUGCCCUCAUUGAUGAGUUUAGAGAAGGCUUAAAUUUCAUUUUUGAUCUGUCAUUGGUAGGUGAGAGAUUGACUAAGUUCUGCCCUGAUUCAUUCUACUGAAAGCUAUCUCAGAAGUAGACCUGUGAUUGGAGGGGGAAAAAUGGAAAAUAUUAAUUUGAUAAAGGUGUACUGUCUAGUGUUUUGUUUGGUUUGGUUUGGUUAUCAAGCAUUUCCCUCUCCCUCCAAGUUUUGCUCUCUCCCAUAGAGUCCCUAUAGGCAUUUCCCUCCUCCCCAGUCAUUACACCUCUCCUUCCCCAUAGAGUCCCCACAGGUCUUGGGGAUCAGAAAAUCUUUCAAUUUUAAUAAUGCAUUGUGUAAUGUAAGAGCUAUCAAUAGCUUUUGGGAAGGAAAAAUUCAGGUAGCAUCAGUGUUGCUAUGAAUGUUAAGGCAAAGUAAGGCAAUGGAAACGGAGCCAAUAGAUGAAAUGGCCACUAUCACCAUUCUUACUUUAUUAAAUCUGCAUUAAAAUGGCAGUGCAGAAUGCCUCUUGUUGGAUGAAAUUUCCCGGGUUCAUUCCCAGCUGGGACACACUACAGAAGCUGAGAAGAAAUGGAUGCAGAAGCCAGCUGCCAGAAAGUGGAAUUCUUUUAAUGUAGGAAGGCAAGAAGCAAAAAGUGACAUAGCUCAAGCGUUCCUGGCUUGCAAGCAGAGUGGCAUGAUAAGUUUAUGGAUUUUUAUAUCCAUUUUCCCUUUGAAGUUUGUGUGGUUUGAUGAGAUUUUGCGUGUGUCUUUAGUUAAGAUUAUUGCUCUGAGUUAUGUCUUCCUGCCUUAAUAGGUUAAUCCUGUUUCUGGGGUUUUGUCUUUCUUAUCCUGGGAUUCUGUCAGGAAAGAGGAAAAGGGGAGUUCCAGACCCCGUUUUCCAGGCCCUGCUGCAUAUUGUUCUCUCUGUGUCCCCUAAUGGAAACUUCAGUGCUGGCAGAUUUACAGAAGCACAUGGCAUUUUUUUCAGGUAUAAAAUUUCCUCCUUCAGAGAUGAAUUGGGGCUGUGGGUGUUCAUGGAUGCAGCCCAGGCCAGCAGAAAUGAAGCUGGUUCCCUUGGAGCAUCUGGCCUGAUGGUGCUGCUUUGUCCUAAAUCCUUGGGAGCUGUUGUGACUCAGCGUUAGCAGAAACAAGAAACAGACUCCUCGCCAGUAAAAAAACCCUUUUUACCUCUUGUGAAUUAAUUGCAUUCACCCACUGAAAGUCCAGGCAAAAGUCCUGCAAGGAGUUAACUGCAGCAGCAGACCUUAUCAGUUCCUUAGGAUAAUUGCAAAGCCUUGAGCUCCCAAUGGAAAGGCUGCAAAUUCUGGCAAACAGUCUUUGUUGCAUGAAACACAAUGAGCAAAAUGUCUAGAAAAAGAACUGUUGUCUCCUACAACAACCACUUCCCUUUCCUUCUAAGAGGACCCAUUCAGUGUGCACAUUUGCUUUGCUUCCCAGUCAACUCCUUGUCCUCCCUUGUUCACCUCUCCUAAGUGCUUUGCACAUACCUGCAUCUGGAACAGGCCUCCGCUGGAAGCUGGCAGGCGACAACAGGACCCACAGGAAAUCAGUCAUAAAGUUUUGGGAUUAAGAGGCAGAAUAUUAUAUUUCCCCAAAGGAGAAAUGGAGAAACAUGCUUUUAAAGAAAGAAAACAGUCUUUCUUAAUAGCCCCCAGCAGAUAUUUUGCGUUCAUUAAGAAAGACUGGGCCAGCCUAUUCACAAGUAAAAGGCCUCAUCUCCAGCAUGGGAUUAAAAUUUACAUUCUCCACCACCCAAAUCCUUUUUUAUUUUUUUACAAACAUAUCGUUAUGUGAACAGUGUGGCACUGCAAUGUCUUAUAUUUUGGUACAAAUAAAACAAUAUUCUUCAUAUUUAAUACAGUUGACAAUCUUACAUAGUCUUAAUAAUAAUACACAUUUUUUUGAAUUAUAAUCUUUGAUUAUUUGAUAUUUUGGUAUUUUAAGUUAUAAUC